rnacentral:lncRNA from 1 species
GUGCCUUCUGGAGGACAUCAGCAGUCAGAUUCUCGUCAUCAGCAGUUAACAACCUUUAGUGCCAGGAUGAUUUGAUGGAACCCAUCCAGAGCUUGUCAAGAGGAAACAUGAGUUUUGCCUUCUCUGUCUUGCCACGUAUCUCACCAGUGCUCUUUUGCUCAUGACAGCCUCACCUAUCUUACGGUGCCUGACCUCGGGAACGGGAGGCAUGACCAAACACCCGUUGAAAUGAAAAUACUUAUGCCAAGGUUUAAAAACGAUUCUUCUGGACAGCUGCAAAGAGAAAUGGUACAUUGUUGACUGUGAAACUGGAGUCUCCAGUGAUCUUUUCAUAAACAUGCCAGAGACUGCCUCAAGAGACAAAUGGACUGAAGUUCUUGCCCUGAGCAGUUUAGGAUACCAGGAUAAGCAAACUGAAACCACAAAAAGACUCCAACCUGGAAAAUUUCGGCCUUCACCCCACCAUCCCAACAUAAUGUGCAUUAGAAGAAGGAGCUAUGUCCCUCAAUCUUGAAAUCUUUUCUUUUUAGCAAUCACCUGUUGUGGGAUUGUAUCCAGAUACCCAGGACUGCAUUUUGAGACCACAGCACUUUUAGAGGAAAGCUCCAGAUUGCUACUAGAUUCCCUGUUGUACUCCAUGGCCAGCUUUCUUUGGAGAUGAAGCAUCUAAUACUUAGUUAAGUCUGCAAGUUUGAGCAUGAUUCAAACGUUGAAUAAAACCUAAAGAUGACAACUUUAAUUAUUAGGAGGAUGCGUCACUUUUAUAUUAUAUUCAAUAGUACUUAAAUCCAAUUACAACCACGCAGCUUACAGUACUUUUCUUCAAAGCUAUUUCUGUAAGGUAGCAAAUGAACCAUCUUGUAACUGGAUCAAAAGGAAGGUGAGGCCUUCCUACAGUCAGCUGAACCUUGGCCUGACUCUGACCUGUGCUUCACGGCCACCUAAGUAUCUAGGACAUAUGUACUUAGGUGGUUCUGUCCAAUAGUCUGUCCUUGUGUGCAAUUGUGAUAAAACUUAAUGACAUCUUAUACAAUCUGCUUAAUUACCUUCAAAGAGACAAUGGUGUACCUGGCCAGGAAUGGUACCACUUAGGAAGCGAACAGAGGCAGGGAAGGACAAAGAAAAGAGCACUUUUUUCAGCUGGGUGCACUGAUUCACGCCUGUAAUCCCAGCACGUUGGGAGACUAAGGCGGGUGGAUCACCUGAGGUCGGGAAUUCUGGACCAGCCUAGCCAACAUGGUGAAAUCCUGUCUCUACUAAAAAUACAAAAAUUAGCCAGGUGUGGUGGCACACGCCUGUAAUCCCAGCUACUCAAGAGUCUGAGGCAGAAGAAUCAUUUAAUCCUGGCAGGUGAAGUUUGCGGUGAGCCCAGAUCGCACCACUGCACUCCAU